rnacentral:rRNA from 1 species
GAUGAACGCUGGCGGCGUGCCUAAUACAUGCAAGUCGAGCGAAUGGAUUAAGAGCUUGCUCUUAUGAAGUUAGCGGCGGACGGGUGAGUAACACGUGGGUAACCUGCCCAUAAGGCUGGGAUAACUCCGGGAAACCGGGGCUAAUACCGGAUAACAAUUUGAACCGCAUGGUUCGAAAUUGAAAGGCGGCUUCGGCUGUCACUUAUGGAUGGACCCGCGUCGCAUUAGCUAGUUGGUGAGGUAACGGCUCACCAAGGCAACGAUGCGUAGCCGACCUGAGAGGGUGAUCGGCCACACUGGGACUGAGACACGGCCCAGACUCCUACGGGAGGCAGCAGUAGGGAAUCUUCCGCAAUGGACGAAAGUCUGACGGAGCAACGCCGCGUGAGUGAUGAAGGCUUUCGGGUCGUAAAACUCUGUUGUUAGGGAAGAACAAGUGCUAGUUGAAUAAGCUGGCACCUUGACGGUACCUAACCAGAAAGCCACGGCUAACUACGUGCCAGCCGCCGCCGUAA